UACGUAGGGGGCUAGCGUUGUCCGGAAUUAUUGGGCGUAAAGAGCUCGUAGGCGGUCUGUCGCGUCUGCUGUGAAAACUCGGGGCUUAACCCCGGGCCUGCAGUGGGUACGGGCAGACUAGAGUGCGGUAGGGGAGACUGGAAUUCCUGGUGUAGCGGUGAAAUGCGCAGAUAUCGGGAGGAACACCAGUAGCGAAGGCGGCACUCUGGGCCGGAACUGACGCUGAGGAGCGAAAGCGUGGGUAGCAAACAGG
rnacentral:rRNA from 1 species